ACUGUUUUCAUACUUUCACUGCACUAUUAAAAUUGUGUUGUUUUUAACACUGUGGUUGCUAUGACGCAUUUCUGUUCUUCUUAGUAAUUUGGAAUGUGUGACUUUAACACAAACACAUACACCUAUUAGUGACAGUGAAUUUUAACUCUGCAUUUAAUCCGUCCUUUUUUACACUCCACAAGCCGGGCAAGGGAGCAGUGGGCAGAGUGCCUUGCUCAGGGGGUGACCCAGCCCAUGACCCAUUCCAGGAUUUGAACUGGCAACCCUUCAGUUACAAGCCCAAUUCCUUUCCUCUUGGCCUUAAGAUGUGUAUGCUGCAACCACUAUCUGGAAGAAGAUUAGGAGCCCUCCUGUUCCCUCUUCCUCCCCUCAACUCCAGUGUAACAGUAAGAACACAUGGCAGCACAGCACUAAGCUAUGGGGUUUCUCAGGGGUGUCGGCACAUGUGCGAGUGGAAGGGAAUGUUGAUGAUUAAAUGGUGCUGAA